rnacentral:tRNA from 1 species
GGUUGUGUACUUUAUCCAAAAGAGCUAGCUUGCACCUAGCCAUAGGGCCACCCAGCCCCACAACUAC